UCCCGUAACGAGCGCAACCCUUGUCCUUAGUUACCAGCACGUUAUGGUGGGCACUCUAAGGAGACUGCCGGUGACAAACCGGAGGAAAGGUGGGGAUGACGUCAAGUCAUCAUGGCCCUUACGGCCUGGGCUACACACGUGCUACAAUGGUCGGUACAAAGGGUUGCCAAGCCGCGAGGUGGAGCUAAUCCCAUAAAACCGAUCGUAGUCCGGAUCGCAGUCUGCAACUCGACUGCGUGAAGUCGGAAUCGCUAGUAAUCGUGAAUCAGAAUGUCACGGUGAAUACGUUCCCGGGCCUU
rnacentral:rRNA from 1 species